AGCGUCGUGCUCGGCGCUGCUGGGUGGUCCCCUGCUUUCCGUGGGAACUUUGAAAACAGGAAAGAGACCGCAGAGAGCUGCACGGACCGAGCAGCACAUUUUGUGCAAAUGCCACCGAGCAAACCGGGUGCUUAUAUUUUUGGAUUUCAAUGCUGACAUCCAUCAGUGCUGUUUUGGAACAAUAACAACCCCCCGCCCUGCCGUUUUCAGCUGCCCACAGUUGCACAGUAGAGAGGGACAGGAAUGGCAGGGGAGAGAGAGAGAGGAGAUGCAGCAAAUGGCUUGAGCUCAGAUUCGAACCUUGGACGCUGCGAUCAGGACUUGGCCUUAAGAAGUGGUGCGCGCUCUACCAGAGUGACAAUAGUCUGACAAGUUUGAUAAUCUCGCUAAUUGAUCACAGCAUCAGAGUCAAGAUUUCCCGGCUCAAGAGGCUACAGUAGCUAUUUUGAGUACCCGGUGCUCUUCUCAGCAGCAUUCACUCCGCUCCGUCACUGCACUGCUUUUGGUGAGGGGUAUUUCAUAACACGAUGACAGCCUUCUCUCUAUAUCACACUAUGCUAUUUUGAUGUAAACCUGUCAUAAAAAAUAUGUUAUCAUACAACUAAACUGCAUUCUCAGUUCCAUUUUGAGGGAAAAACAUUUUGUUGCAGAUUACCCGAGUUUAUUACCGUGUUAAGCUUUUUAGGUAUUGUUACAUUGCGUUACAAAGUCAGACAGUUUUGUUGAAGCAAGACAAACCUAACCUUUCCAUAAUAUAACCUAAAGUUUCCCUGAACCUAACCUUAACAAACCAUAACCGAGUGGUUUUGGUGCCUAAACCUAACCAUGUGACACUGACACGCUCCGAGGGCCUGGUGCAUCUCAUUUAAGAACGGAGUUUAGUUGUAUGGGACCCAGCUAUGUUCAUUAGAAACAUAUUUGUGAUACAUCAGAAACAAAUGUAAUUCAUGACAAAAUACGUUUCCCUUAAGAGGUUAUUCAGUCAAGUGCAAUGAAUUUUCUGAACUAUCACAGAGUGUACUAAGUUUGUAUUGGUGGAAAUGUUCACUUACUUACCGUCUCACUGUUAUAGGAGACUGAUUCUUGAGAAUUUGGAUGAAUCAUGUCCCACUAAGAAAAAUGCU